ACGAACCGUGCGAACGUUAUUCGGAAUCACUGGGCUUAAAGCGCGCGUAGGCGGGCCGUCGCGUCGGAUGCUGAAAGCCCCCGGCUCAACCGGGGAAGGGGCACCGAUACGGGCGGCCUGGAGUGGAGGAGGGGGAUCCGGAACUCCCAGUGGAGCGGUGAAAUGCGUUGAGAUCGGGAGGAACGCCGGCGGCGAAAGCGGGAUCCUGGACUUCGACUGACGCUGAGGCGCGAAAGCCAGGGGAGCGAACGGGA
rnacentral:rRNA from 1 species